CGCACCUUGCGCCCUCUGGUAUUCCGGAGAGCAUGCCCGGUUGAGUAUUAUGAUCAUCUCAAACCUUUCGCUUCUGAUUGCAAAGGUCUUGCGUUCGGCGAAGUCGUCUAUCGAGGCGGCGGUAGCUGAACCUGGACUUGGAAGUGUAUUGGUCUUGGACUUGAGCGUCUCGUCGGUCCGCUUGGAUCGACCCGCUUGAAAUGUAUUAGCUGGCGACCCGCCUUACGGUUCCACUCGGCGUAGUAAGUCUUAUUCGUCGAGGACGCCUCUUUGAGGUGGCCUAUGGGUUUGGUGUGAUGCCGCUUCCAGUCGUCUUUGGACAGUCUUGAACCUUUAAUCUCAACUCGGGUAGGACUACCCGCUGAACUUAA
rnacentral:rRNA from 1 species